UACGUAGGGUGCGAGCGUUGUCCGGAAUUAUUGGGCGUAAAGAGCUCGUAGGCGGUGUGUCGCGUCGGCCGUGAAAACCUGCAGCUUAACUGUGGGCUUGCGGUCGAUACGGGCAUCACUGGAGUUCGGCAGGGGAGACUGGAAUUCCUGGUGUAGCGGUGAAAUGCGCAGAUAUCAGGAGGAACACCGGUGGCGAAGGCGGGUCUCUGGGCCGAUACUGACGCUGGAGGAG
rnacentral:rRNA from 1 species